rnacentral:lncRNA from 1 species
AACAAAUGGCUAGCUUUUUGGGAUUUUCUCUCUUUAAUCGAUAUAUAUGAUGGUGCAAUGUAUAUGACUGAUAAAAUGAUCAAGGCUUGGUUGAUUUGUAUUGAUUUUAGUCACAUGGGAUAUCCGGGGUUGGUGAACAACCAAGAUAUAGCAAGAUUUGCAAGCUACUUAUUAAAGAAUGUGAGAAAGGGCAUUUUGGUCCAUUUGCUUACCAUUUUAAUGACAAUCUUGUAAACUUAUCCCAACCCUUAAGGUUUAACCCUUAGGGUUU